AGGAAGUGGAGAGCACUCGGCAUGGCGGCGCCCGUAACGCUGCAGAGGAGCGUGGUGUCCCCCGUGGGCAGGCACACCGCCUCCCUCAUCUUCCUGCACGGCUCAGGUCAUACUGGCGUGGGAGCAAGAGCAUGGAUAAAACAAAUUUUGAAUCAAGACAUGGUUUUCCAACAUAUAAAAGUAAUUUACCCAACAGCUCCUGCCAGGGCCUGCGUAGAGAAUGAUCACCAGAUGUCCCCUGGACAGCCGUUUUUCAAUACAGAAGAACUGGAGACAGUGGGUUUUAUAUGGCCCCUCCAGCAAGCAGUUACAGGGUUCUAAGGCCAUAUACACCUAUGAAAGGAGCCUCCUCCACUGUCUGGUUUGACAGGUACAAGAUCUCCAAUGACUGUCCAGAACACAUUGAAAGUAUUGAUUCUAUGUGCCAGAGACUUACAGACUUGAUCAACGAUGAGAUUAAAAGCGGCAUUGCAAAGAAUAGGAUACUAGUAGUUGAGAGAAGAGACUGGAGGACUUGUCUGUGAAGAGCAGUGGGGGCCUUUUCAGAAUUCUUACAUGUGACAAGAGGACGUGUCUGAUAGGAAGUGGUGAUGCAGAUGAAAGGCUUGCAGUGGAGGCUUUUCCAUGGGAGGUGGAAUGGCAAUGCAUUUAGCAUAUAGGUUUCAUCAAGAUCUGGCAGGAGUCUUUGCUUUGUCUAGUUUCCUCAAUAAAGACUCUGCUGUUUACCAGGCUUUGAAAAGAAAUGAGAGUGUUCUUCCAGAGUUAUUUCAGUGUCAUGGAACUGCAGAUGAACUUGUUCUCUGCUCAUGGGGUGAAGAGACCAACAAGAUGUUAAAGUCACUGGGAGUAUCAACGUCACUUCAUACUUUUCCAGACCUUAAUCAUGAGUUAAGCAGAACUGAAAUCGAAAAGCUAAAAACCUGGAUUGUAAAGAAAUUACCUGUUGAAGCAGCAAACACAAAUGAAUAAAUAAAAUGCAGCUUUCACAUA